AGAGUUUGAUCCUGGCUCAGGACGAACGCUGGCGGCGUGCUUAACACAUGCAAGUCGAGCGGUAAGGCCCUUUCGGGGGUACACGAGCGGCGAACGGGUGAGUAACACGUGGGUGACCUGCCCUCAGCUCUGGGAUAAGCCCGGGAAACUGGGUCUAAUACCGGAUAUGACUCCACGGUGCAUGUCGUGGGGUGGAAAGCCUUGUGCGGCUGAGGAUGGGCCCGCGGCCUAUCAGCUUGUUGGUGGGGUGAUGGCCUACCAAGGCGACGACGGGUAGCCGGCCUGAGAGGGCGACCGGCCACACUGGGACUGAGACACGGCCCAGACUCCUACGGGAGGCAGCAGUGGGGAAUCUUGCGCAAUGGGUGAAAGCCUGACGCAGCGACGCCGCGUGAGGGAUGACGGCCUUCGGGUUGUAAACCUCUUUCAGCUCCGACGAAGCGAAAGUGACGGUAGGAGCAGAAGAAGCACCGGCCAACUACGUGCCAGCAGCCGCGGUAAUACGUAGGGUGCAAGCGUUGUCCGGAAUUAUUGGGCGUAAAGAGCUCGUAGGCGGUCUGUCGCGUCGGCUGUGAAAACUCGGGGCUCAACUCCGAGCCUGCAGUCGAUACGGGCAGGCUAGAGUGCGGCAGGGGAGACUGGAAUUCCUGGUGUANCGGUGAAAUGCGCAGAUAUCAGGAGGAACACCGGUGGCGAAGGCCGGUUUUUGGGCCGAUUCUGACCCUGAGGAACNAAACCGUGGGGAGCGAACCGG
rnacentral:rRNA from 1 species